GCUGAACGUGUCCUGAUUCCAGCACCCAAUCACUGACAGAAACAAAACAGACUUCUGGUGUGAGCGCUCCAUUUCCCCCAGUUGAGUGUAAGUUCCUUGGUGACGAGCCAUAUGCGUCUUCUAUGUCUUGACUUGCUGGGGGAAUUAAGUUGAGGUACUAGGCACACAGAGUCGGUGGGUAACAAGCUCUUGAGAACUAGUGGAUUUUUUUAAACUUCGCAAAGCGCCAGAAUGGGUUUUCACAGAAAAUCCCAUUUAAGUCCCUUCAACUCACGAGCAUCUUCCCAUACAUUAACCUAUUUGCUCCUGACAGAGUCCCUGGAUAUAAGAGAUCCUUGCCAUCUCCAUGUUACAGAGGAGGGACAUGCUUGAGGUCCCCCAGCUGGGAUCACAAUUACUGGAAGCAGGCGUCUCAGGACCCCAAAAUCUGUGAGGCUUUUGCAGGGGGCCUCGCAAAGCCAGGGCCAGAUUCACUCUCUCUCUCCGGGGUCUCUGUUGACCUUGUGCUAUGCUCACCUGCUGACUGGGAGGAUGAGCCUUGGUCUUCACGGCCAAACAGACUCCGGACAGUCUGGGUGAAGGCUGGAGGUGCCUUUCUUGAGAUCAGAGUUGCAGCAUCGACGACCCAGCCAAGUGCCAUGUGUCAGCAGCUGAAACGCUAGGAUGAUCCCAGCCCCGGGAAAGGCUGGUCAGAAGGGGGCGGGCCGCAGUCCAGCUGAGCAGGGAGGCGUGGGAGAUAGCCAAGGCCACUACAGCAAUAUCAGCCGGCGGGGUCUGCCGCCCAGGGGUCAGAGAUUUGCCCAGAGGGGCCAGACUGGGCGCAGCGGAGGACCAAGGCUGCUCGCUCUCUGCCCUACUCCCACCCCUGCCAAGUGUGGGCAGCCACGAGACCAGGGAUUCCAGCCCUGGGGCAAGGGUGGUGCGCAGCUGCAGGUGGGGACAGUGGGAUGGCCACCCAGUGGCCAACCACUUUGGAUUGGUUUUUUCAUUAUGACCUGUCUUCCCUUGAUUACAAAAGUAUGUUGUAUGCAAAAUAAAAAAGUUGAGGACUACCCAAAAACCCACAUAGGCGCAAAAUAAAAAUCACCCGUACUGCUCUCUCUUUUUGAAAUGUACAGAGGAUGAGAGGUAAAAAUCAAAUGCCCUCGUCUCCCAGCUCUGACUCUCCCUUCCCCCAUGCGCCCGGAGGUCAGCGGUGUUGGCCGUUUGAUAGCGUUUGUUGAGGUUCCUUCUCUCUCCUUCUCCUCCCUUAGGAUGGAAGGGUGCAGCAGUUUUUGGAAGGGAAACAAAAACUCGGUCACUGUUUUGACUGACAACAUAAAUGUCCAUUUCACUCUAAUUCCUUCUAAAUAUGUUGGUGAUACAGUGCUCUGUCUGGGAAGUGUCCUGGCUCCUCCACUCCAGACACGUCUACCUCCCCCACCUCCGGCCAUCCUUACAGCCUCCCCUCAAGGCAGACCAGAGGAGGGUUCUGGGGUUUGGUUUCAAGGCAACUAGCAGGCUUUGCUGUCCUCCAAACGCCUUGCUCUUAGAUCACUGAAGCCCCACCAUCAGAAAGUCAGACUUUAAACAGAAAACUUCAUUUUGCCUGAAAAUACCACUUCCUCUUGGGAACUGUGACUCCUGUAAGAC
ensembl:lncRNA